AGUGAACGCUGGCGGUAGGCCUAACACAUGCAAGUCGAACGGCAGCACAGGAGAGCUUGCUCUCUGGGUGGCGAGUGGCGGACGGGUGAGGAAUACAUCGGAAUCUACUCUGUCGUGGGGGAUAACGUAGGGAAACUUACGCUAAUACCGCAUACGACCUACGGGUGAAAGCAGGGGAUCUUCGGACCUUGCGCGAUUGAAUGAGCCGAUGUCGGAUUAGCUAGUUGGCGGGGUAAAGGCCCACCAAGGCGACGAUCCGUAGCUGGUCUGAGCGGAUGAUCAGCCACACUGGAACUGAGACACGGUCCAGACUCCUACGGGAGGAAGCAGUGGGGAAUAUUGGACAAUGGGCGCAAGCCUGAUCCAGCCAUACCGCGUGGGUGAAGAAGGCCUUCGGGUUGUAAAGCCCUUUUGUUGGGAAAAAAUCCAGCUGGCUAAUACCCGGUUGGGAUGACGGUACCCAAAGAAUAAGCACCGGCUAACUUCGUGCCAGCCGCCGCCGUAA
rnacentral:rRNA from 1 species